GACGAACGCUGGCGGCGUGCCUAAUACAUGCAAGUAGAACGCUGAAGGAGGAGCUUGCUUCUCUGGAUGAGUUGCGAACGGGUGAGUAACGCGUAGGUAACCUGCCUGGUAGCGGGGGAUAACUAUUGGAAACGAUAGCUAAUACCGCAUAAUAUUGACUAUUGCAUGAUAGUCAGUUGAAAGGUGCAACUGCACCACUACCAGAUGGACCUGCGUUGUAUUAGCUCGUUGGUGGGGUAACGGCUCACCAAGGCGACGAUACAUAGCCGACCUGAGAGGGUGAUCGGCCACACUGGGACUGAGACACGGCCCAGACUCCUACGGGAGGCAGCAGUAGGGAAUCUUCGGCAAUGGACGGAAGUCUGACCGAGCAACGCCGCGUGAGUGAAGAAGGUUUUCGGAUCGUAAAGCUCUGUUGUAAGAGAAGAACGAGUGUGAGAGUGGAAAGCUCACACUGUGACGGUAUCUUACCAGAAAGGGACGGCUAACUACGUG
rnacentral:rRNA from 1 species